rnacentral:rRNA from 1 species
GGAGGAAAGCAGGGGAUCGUAAGACCUAGCGUUAAUGGAGCGGCCGAUAUCGGAUUAGCUAGUUGGUGGGGUAAAGGCCUACCAAGGCGACGAUCCGUAGCUGGUCUGAGAGGACGACCAGCCACACUGGAACUGAGACACGGUCCAGACUCCUACGGGAGGCAGCAGUGGGGAAUUUUGGACAAUGGGGGCAACCCUGAUCCAGCCAUUCCGCGUGAGUGAAGAAGGCCUUCGGGUUGUAAAGCUCUUUCGCAAGGGAAGAAAACUUAGGCUCUAACAUAGUCUGAGGCUGACGGUACCUUGAUAAGAAGCACCGGCUAACUACGUGCCAGCAGCCGCGGUAAUACGUAGGGUGCGAGCGUUAAUCGGAAUUACUGGGCGUAAAGCGUGCGCAGGCGGUUUUGAAAGUCAGAUGUGAAAUCCCCGGGCUUAACCUGGGAACUGCGUUUGAAACUACAAAGCUAG